CUCUGGGCUCUGGGUGCUGCUUUCCCAGUGCUUCCACUGGGUCCCACUGCCUCCUUGCCCACUUGUAGGCAAUCUAGGCACAGUCUUUAAAACACAGGGGCCCCAAAGAGCCAGGUGCCUGGGAAGCAGAGUCCCCAGCAGAGGUGAGGAGGGGAGGGCUCUUCCGCUUGGUGGGCAGGAUCUUCCUGCAAUACCCAUCGAGGGCAACAAUAGGAUCAGUGGCAUCUGCUCAGGGUGGAGACACUGUGCCCUGAAACAGCAGUUGGCGAAUGGCAGAGGGACCAGGAGACCGCAAAGGAACGGAAUCAUGAGGCCAGUUUCCCUGGAGCCCGGGUAACCGUGGGAAGGGCCACUGUGUGUGUUGAAUGGCUAACAGGUCCUUUCUAGAAGGCAGCUGCUGGUUAGGGCCCUUCCUAAGAAGGGACUCUCCACCCUCUACAGUGCCCUGGGCCUCCCUGCUGCCAGGCUGAGCCAGGCCAGGUCCCUGAGAAGCAGCCAUCUGGCUUCAAGGCUCUGCCACAGAACCGAAGCAGCCCUGUUGUGAGGGCACAACUGCCGAGGAAAUGCCCUGGGAGCCCAGGUUGGUUGCAGUAUGGAUGUGCAUAGAACACCAAUGAGUAGUUUAUACUUGAGAGGCACCUACUAUAUUCUGCUUUUAAAAGGACACAUGGAUUCCAUCCCUGCCAGGCCUGCUACUAGGAUAAAUGUACACAGAAGAUGGCACGGCCCUCCCUCCUCCAGGACACAAGCCCAGCUCCUUCAACUAAUCCUGGGGUGGAGAAGCCAAGCACAGGCUGCCGAACCUCCCUGCUGGAGUGUGGAUCUGGAGCGUUCCGUGAAGACUAUGUAUGAAAGGUCUGGGCCCCAGAUGAUGGUGCUUCUGGGAGAUGGAGAUAUCUUUAGGGGCAUGGCCUAGUGGGAGGAGGUUAGGUCAUUGAGGGUGUGCCUUUGGGUGGGAGUAAUGGGAUUGCCACUUUUUUCUCUCUCUUUCACUUCUGGCCAACAUGAGGUGAGUGGCUUCCUCCACCACAUGGUCCCACCAUGAUGAACUGCCUUACCACAGCCCAAGGCAACACAGCCAAGUGACCAGGGACUAAAGCCUCUGAAAUACCUGCCCGGGAUAUCAUGACAGGAGCAGAGGAGUUAUUUCCCACGUGAACUUGGAAAUGAGCCUUCCCAGAGAAGGCAGGUGUGGGCUGGCAGACACCAGCCAUUCUCUGUGUCCGGAGAACAAGCAGUCACAACCAGGCUCAGCCCCAAGACUACUUCACGGUGCACAGCUGCAGACUUUGGACCCAUCCGCCAAUGAUGGACCACAGGUGAUCCCCUCCUCAGAACUCCUACCCAGAGGGGUGGUGUCUUAGGAGCGCUCAACUCAUGAAAAGGGGUGUGCAGUCCUUGGAUGAGCAAUCUUCCCAGUACUUUCCAUGUCCCAUCUACCAGCUGCUCCACUCCCCACGCUUCCCUUCCUGUCUACACAAUCACCCUGUCCUUCUAGCCAGGGUUCUCUGCUCUGUCCCUAUAUGUCACUGUCCGUGACACUAUAGGGUGCGAGCCACUCUUCCCUCACGGGUGAAUUAGAAUAGAAAGCCCAGAGCUAUUCACCCUGCCCACUUCACCCUGCCUGCAACUCCUGGCAAAUCUCAAAGACAGCCUGUGCUUCCCACUCCUCAGCCAACACCCUGCCCACCCUCGGUCCCACAGCCUGGUCCCCUUCCUCCCAGCUGCAGCCUCCUGAACCCCGGCAAGGCGUCCCCUGCGCAUCCCACAUCUGCUCCACACAGUCCACAUCCCACUCUGAGCAAGGGAUGGUGCUGUCUCUUCCGGUAGGAUGGGUCAUUUCAUUGUAAAUAGUUAGAAAAUACCAAAAGGUAAACAGAAGAAACUAAAGUCACCCAAUGAUAAAUGUUAUUGAUAUUGGGGCACAUUUCUAAAUCUUUUUCUCUUUGAAUCUGAACACUACAGUCUGAAUACUUCCAAUUUCUUCAAGAGGAUCAAGGAUCAUUUGAAAGCCAUGUCAUUCUUAUCCUUGCUUCUGUGUCUCCAUGCACACUGUUCUGCCCCCGGACUCCUCCCCUAUCCUCCCCCACACUCCACUAUCCAGCCGCACCUUCCCUUAGCUAUAACUCCCUGCCAUGCAGAGCGUGGCCUAAGCGUCCUAGUCUAUUAAUUUUGUUCCUGUCAAUAGGUUCAGCUUUUGUUACACAGAUUGCAUAAUUCAAUGCUUGAUAUAUUUUCUCUUUUCUAAUAAUUUCCAGAAUUCAUCUUGUGUUCCUGGUAAUGACAUAAACCCCUAAAGAUCAGCAGCCACAUAUCACACAUAGUAGGCCCUCAACAAACAUGAGGAUUUUCAGAUUAUGUCACAGUGUUUGGAUUCCACUGCUCCUUCUACCCUCUGUUGUUUCUAUGCAACUGUGGGAGAUCUCACCUAUGCCAGGAACCAGGAAUCAGUACCAUCCAAGAGUGGGGGGAUCAUUAAAGUCUGUCUUAGAAAAGCCUGGGGUUCACAUCUUGCUAUUUUCAUAAUUCAGCCCUUCCUCCUCUUGUGUUCACGAGCUAUUUCCCUUACCAAGGUUGCUCUCUGAGAGGCACUCACAGAGGGCAGGGCCAUCCUGGUCCUUUUGGGGAGGGGGUCUAUCAAGGUCACCCUCAGGCCUGAAUGAGGUCAACUUCAAAGAAGAAGUAACAGAGGAAAACUAGCUUCAUAACUUUAAUUUGACAAAAUGGCCUUUAAAAGAAAAUUUAGGUUAGACAGGAUUAGAACUUAAUCACACUCAUUUUCUAACAGUAAAGUAAUAAAAAAGCAUCUUUCUCAUCCCAUUUUACAGGGGCUAUUCCUUCUACUCCUACACAAAUGCUGUCUCUGUCUCCCCACCUCUACCUGAGCAAGACAAAGUGACCCACACACUUUUUGCAACUCAUCUACUAUUAAUAGCAGACUAAGAUCAUUCUUGAGUUAUCUAUCAGCCUCCAUUACCUCCUGCUUAAUGUAUAAUUCGUAUUAAAGGCUAGUGCCAGAGGAGAGGAGCAGCAGGAUGCUCAUGGUACUCUCUAGUCCUUCCCUGGUCCUUUCCCAUCCCCACCUACACUUGCUUAGCUGAGUGAUUCUGAAAAAUCCUCUGCCUCACUGGCACAGGCAUCUUGGUCUACUGCUGGCUCAGGAGCUCCAUUCUACGGAAACACCCUUUUCCAUCUUCACCCUCUCCACACACCAAGCUUUAAAGUGCUCCAAACAUCCAGAGGUGUCUGGUGGGGUGGAGAGAAUUACAGAUUCUUAUGGCCACCAGCCUCUACUUCUUGUCUCAAAUGCAUCCCAGAUGCAAGAAGCACGCUGCCUGGCAGCCACCUCCUCUGGGCCACAUUUCCUUCUGGGCAUUGCCACCACCGCCAGAGGAAGCAGAUCCAGCUCCACACCCCAGCACCUGUGUGUACUCCUCAGCAGUGCUUCUCUUCCAAGGCCUUUUGUGUCCUUGAAAUAGUGGCACUAAAAUGUUCCCGAUUGCAGCUGUUCACUGGAUUAUUCUAGUUCACACUGCAAUGACGGGCUGUGGAAGCGGGCACUUGAGACAAAAAUAGGCAUUAUUUAUGGUGCUUGCUUCUUGGUCUUUACAUCUUUGGGGGAGGGCAACUACUUUUUGUUUGCCAAUGUUCCGUGAUAGGCCAGUGAAGCCAGUGUGAAAGGACAUUUGCUGACAGUGCACACACAGAGGGGGAAGGCAGGGCCUGGUGGUCUGUGCCUCCCCCCUGAAGCAUCCUGGAAGCCACCAACAAGGAUGGGUCCUGGAAAAGCCACUCUUGAGCACCAGUGCCCAGGCUACGGCCCUCCCUUCCUGGGCCCAGAGCAGAGCCUACAGACCAACUGGCCUCUCCCCCAGCCUCCUCUGUCUGCAAAAUAAAGCCCACCCUAUAUGACAAUUAGGGGUGCUGGCCAGAGUUCCCUGCUCACUGCAUAGCCACGGCUGUCACCAUUUUCCCCUCCCGGUUGCCUUGGAUGAGGCCACUGUUUGCACAUGAGGGGCCUUUGUGGACAUGCUCUCCAGAGCCUGUGAGUCAGUUUUCAGAGGCUUCUUCACAAGGCUGCAAAGGAAAACCUCAAUUUUGGCAUUUCCUUGAAAAAAAUACCCGAGGUUUCUUCUUGCAGCUUGAUAUUAGCUUGUGUUGUUAGAACGAUACCCAAGAGCUGGGCAGCCAUUCCUGCCUUAGUGAUGUUUCUGAGUGCUGUGAACCAUCACUCCACCCCAGGAGGGGUCAGCAAGACUCCCCGUUUGCAGAUGCUGAAACUGAGGCUCAGAGGAUCAAGUGCUAUUUGCUCAUCACUACAGAAGCAGGAGAGGAGGUGGAUUUGUCCCCAGACGACCUGACCCUGACUCCUAGUCCCCACAAGAUGCUCUGGUUUCUCCCAGUCUAACUCACUCUAUAAGAUCAGUUAUUUCAGUUCCCUAGGAUAGAGAAAGCCAUCUUCUAAUACUUAGAUGCUCCUUUCGAUUCUCUGUGUGAAGUACUCUAGGAGAUCUCACUAUUUAAUAGAUUGUUAUCCCUGCACUGCCUUUUCAGAAGAAAUCUGAUGUGGCAAAGUAUUUGGAUUUUGUUUUCAGUCUAUUUUUGCAGUGCUGGGAAUGGUACCCCACUCCAGAAUGCUUAGCUUUUACUUUACGAGUGAGAUUUCCCUCUCUUGACUCAAGUAUUCCCUGACGAUAUCAAUGAAAGUAUCUUGCACAUUUUGCCUGGUACACAGCAUAAAUUAAAUAAAUAUUUGUUGAAUCUAAUUUUGAGCCUGCAGGAAUCCAACAGGAAACAUUCACUCAGCC
rnacentral:lncRNA from 1 species